CUCCUAAACUUUGACCACAAAUACAGCCCUGGGCCUGAGCAGUGUCGGCGCGGACGAACCACUAUCACCCCCUUGGACACUAACAAAUAAGUGACUCUCUUGAGAGCGGAGAGAAAAAGCAAACCCACGGACUCGAGGAACUAGAAGCGAAGUUACCAGUGAGCGACUGGGAAGCAAGGAAGCUGGCAGCCCUCAACCGCACAGGGCCUGACAAAGCCACUCAGAAGUCGGUGGAACCCCACUGGCGACCCUCCACGUGACCCUGGCUGGUCCCAGAGCCUCUUAGAACGCCAUGUAACAGGGUAGAGGGAGAGAAUGAAGGAGAAAGCAGAAGGCGACCUUGGAAGAUCUGGGUCCUGGGAGGCUGUGGCUGGACCCUCCUCCCAGCCCCGCUGUCUGGGCCAAAUUCCAGGCGGAGCCGCUGUCCUUGGGCUUGACCAAGCUGCCCUCGCAAUUAGAGCAACAGCAGCAAGGAACCGCCCUGGGCCACGGCGCCAGCGUGUGACCGGGCAAAGGUUCGCGUCCCCGGAGCCAGGACUAAUCCGAGCUACGACCGACCGAGGCCAAGGGGGACAACAGGAGUCCCUGCCCCGUAUGGUCAUUAGAAGGAUCACACGAGUGACUAGAGCUGAGGACAGAACCUGGAACGUGGCCAGGGCCUGAAAAGAGAAAAGAACACCGUUCUCCGCAUCUACCUGCAUGACCCCUGCCACUCUGGCCUCUGUGUUCUUGAACCCUCGCUGGCGCUCUCUCAAUCUCUCUCUUUUUUUUUUUUUUUUUGCACUCUCUUUUAAAACACUUUUUUGGGGACGCCUGAGUGGCCCAGCGGUUGGGCAUCUGCCUUAGGCUCAGGGUGUGCUCCUGGAGUC